rnacentral:lncRNA from 1 species
GGGGAACUGAGGUCAGGACAUAUUGGACCUGGGAAGGGGAGAGGGGAACUGAGGUCAGGACAUAUUGGACCUGGGAAGGGGAGAGGGGAACUGAGGUCAGGACAUAUUGGACCUGGGAAGGGGAGAGUGGGGGAGCUGAGUUUUCCCUCCAUCUUGCUGCUGCUUCACUGGAUGUAAAGGGAGAGACACGCCUGCCUGUCGGUCUGAGAGAACAGACUUUACCGCCCAGAGUAGGAAUGCUGACUGACAGACAUUAUGAUUUGUGGUCCAGGUGUACAUGACCGUGUUGUGUUGGGGUUGAGUAGCGGUUUAGUUGUGUGGACAUUUGUCCCGUAUAGCCCUGAUGCUGCUCCACUCAUGAAAUCAGAAUUACUCACAGAAUCAGUUAUGGCUGGAAUUCAAUCUGAUCGCGGGUUAUAGGCACUGCAGCUCUGAAAUGUAAUGUUCUCAUUCGCGGAGAUCCCUUUCAUGAUAAACGCUGCAUAUGUCUGCUCAAUCGGAAGUUGCCUUUAAAAAACCUCAAUGCCUAUAACCCACAAUACGAUAGAAUUCAGCCUUAGUCUGUGUCAGACCAGGAGGAAGUUUGCCCAUACAGAUACAUACAUACAGAUACAUACAGACAGAUACAUACAUACAGAUACAUACAGACAGAUACAUAUAUACAGAUACAUACAUACAGAUACAUACAUACAGAUACAUACAGACAGAUACAUAUAUACAGAUACAUAUAUACAGAUACAUACAUACAGAUACAUAUAUACAGAUAGAUACAUACAGACAGAUAGAUAUAUACAGAUACAUACAUACAGAUAGAUACAUACAGAUAGAUACAUACAUACAGAUACAUAUAUACAGAUACAUACAGACAGAUACAUAUAUACAGAUACAUACAUACAGAUACAUACAUACAGAUACAUACAUACAGAUACAUAUAUACAGAUACAUACAUACAGAUACAUACAUACAGAUACAUACAGACAGAUACAUACAUACAGAUACAUACAUACAGAUACAUAUAUACAGAUACAUAUAUACAGAUACAUACAGACAGAUACAUAUAUACAGAUACAUACAUACAGACAGAUACAUACAGACAGAUACAUAUAUACAGAUACAUACAUACAGAUACAUGUAUACAGAUAGAUACAUACAGACAGAUAGAUAUAUACAGAUACAUACAUACAGAUAGAUACAUACAGAUAGAUACAUACAGAUAGAUACAUACAUACAGAUACAUAUAUACAGAUACAUACAGACAGAUACAUACAUACAGAUACAUACAUACAGAUACAUACAUACAGAUAGAUACAUACAGAUACAUAUAUACAGAUAGAUACAUAUAUACAGAUACAUACAUACAGAUACAUACAUACAGAUAGAUACAUACAGAUACAUACAUACAGAUACAUACAUACAGACAGAUACAUACAUACAGAUACAUAUAUACAGAUACAUACAGACAGAUACAUAUAUACAGAUACAUACAUACAGAUACAUACAUACAGAUACAUACAGACAGAUACAUAUAUACAGAUAGAUACAUAUAUACAGAUACAUACAUACAGAUACAUAUAUACAGAUAGAUACAUACAGACAGAUACAUAUAUACAGAUACAUACAUACAGAUACAUACAUACAGAUACAUACAUACAGAUAGAUACAUACAGACACAUACAUACAUACAGAUAGAUACAUACAGAUACAUAUAUACAGAUACAUACAUACAGAUAGAUACAUACAGAUAGAUACAUACAGACAGAUACAUACAGACAGAUACAUACAGUACAUACAGAUACAUACAGACAGAUACAUACAGUACAUACAGAUACAUACAGACAGAUACAUACAGACAGAUGCGUACAUACAGACAGAUAGAGUACAUACAGAUACAUAAAGACAGAUACAUACAGACAGAUACAGUACAUACAGAUGCAUACAUACAGAUACAUACAGACAGAUACAUACAUACAGAUACAUACUUACAGAUACAUACAGUACAUACAGAUACAUAGAUACAUACAGUACAUACAGAUACAUACAGACAGAUACAUACAGUACAUACAGAUGUAUACAUUCAGAUGUUUACAGACAGAUACAUACAGACAGAUACAUACAUACAUAUACAUACUUACAGAUACAUACAGUACAUACAUAUACAUACAUACAGACAGAUACAUACAAUACAUACAGACAGAUACAGUACAUACAGACACAUACAUACAGAUACAUAAAGACAGAUACAUACAGACAGAUACAGUACAUACAGAUGCAUACAUACAGAUACAUACAGACAGAUACAUACAGUACAUACAGAUACAUACAGACAGAUACAUACAGACAGAUACAUACAGACAGGUACAUACAGAUACAUACAGACAGAUACAUACAGUACAUACAGAUACAUACAGACAGAUGCAUACAUACAGAUACAUACAGACAGAUACAGUACAUACAGACGCAUACAUACAGAUACAUAAAGACAGAUACAUACAGACAGAUACAGUACAUACAGAUGUAUACAUACAGAUACAUACAGACAGAUACAUACAUACAGAUACAUACUUACAGAUACAUACAGUACAUACAGACAGAUACAUACAGACAGAUACAUACAGUACAUACAGAUGUAUACAUACAGAUGUUUACAGACAGAUACAUAGAGACAGAUACAGUACAUACAGACGCAUACGUAAAGAUAGAUACAUACAUACAGAUACAUACAGACAGAUACAUACAGACAGACAGAUACAGUACAUACAGAUACAUACAGACAGAUACAUACAGACAGGGCUGGGUGGAGCAGGGAUGCUAUGCAAGAUGACUUAAGCGCACACACCACAUACCACACCACAUACCACACCACACGCCACAUACCACGCCACAUACCACACCACACACCACACCACAUAAAAUACCACACCACACCACACACCACACCACAUACCAGACCACAUACCACGCCACACCACACCACAUACCACACCACAUAAAAUACCACAUACCACACCACAUACAAUACCACACCACAUACCACAUACCAUACCACACCACAUACCACAUACCAUACCACACCACAUACCAUCACACCACAUACCACACCACAUACCACACACCAUACCACAUCACAUACCACACCACAUACCACGCCACACCACAUACCACAUACCACACCACAUAAAAUACCACAUACCACACCACAUACAAUACCACACCACAUACCACACCACAUACCACACCACAUACCACGCCACACCACAUACCACAUACCACACCACAUAAAAUACCACACCACAUACAAUACCACACCACAUACCACAUACCACACCACAUACCACACCACAUACAAUACCACACCACAUACCACAUACCACACCACAUACCACAUACCACACCACAUAACAUACCACAUAACAUACCACACCACACCACAUACCACAGCACAUACCACGCCACACCACACCACACACCACGUACCACACCACAUACCACGCCACACCACACCACAUAAAAUACCACAUACCACACCACAUACAAUACCACACCACAUACCACAUACCAUACCACACCAUACCACACCACAUACCACACCACAUACAAUACCACACCACAUACCACAUCACAUACCACAUCACAUACCACACCACAUACCACACCACACCACAUACCAUACCACACCACAUACCACACCACAUACCAUACCACACCAUACCACACUACAUACCACACCACACCACAUACCAUACCACACCACAUACCAUACCACACAACAUACCACACCACAUACCACAUACCAUACCACACCACAUACCACACCACAUACCACACCACACCACAUACCACACAAUAUACCACCGUCCCUACACCUUACCACAAACAACAAAGCAUACACACACACACAUCACUGUACCUACACAUUACCACACAACACACACACAAGCAUACACACACACACAUCACACCACACACACCGCACCAUAUGCCACACAGCGUACCAUACACUACACACAGUCUCCCCAGGUCACUGCCAGGGCACAGGGACUGACCUAUGUGUGGCUACCAUGUACAACCACCAUAAGCCAAAGCUUUCUAUAGUAACAUGCUAUUCAUU